GCGGUGGAUGAUGUGGAUUAAUUCGAUGCAACGCGAAAACCUUACCUACCCUUGACAUGUCUGGAAUCUUGGUGAGAGCCGAGGGUGCCUUCGGGAGCAGAACACAGGUGCUGCAUGGCUGUCGUCAGCUCGUGUCGUGAGAUGUUGGGUUAAGUCCCGCAACGAGCGCAACCCUUGUCACUAGUUGCCAUCAUUUGGUUGGGCACUCUAGUGAGACUGCCGGUGACAGACCGGAGGAAGGUGGGGAUGACGUCAAGUCCUCAUGGCCCUUAUGGGUAGGGCUUCACACGUCAUACAAUGGUCGGUACAGAGGGUUGCCAAGCCGCGAGGCGGAGCCAAUCCCACAAAGCCGAUCGUAGUCCGGAUUGUUCUCUGCAACUCGAGAGCAUGAAGUCGGAAUCGCUAGUAAUCGCAGGUCAGCAUACUGCGGUGAAUACGUUCCCGGGUCUU
rnacentral:rRNA from 1 species